AGGCCUGUCAUCCUUUAGUCAGACCCCAGGCCAGUCGUCCUUUAGUCAGACCCCAGGCCUGUCAUCCUUUAGUCAGAACCCAGGCCAGUGGUCCUUUAGUCAGACCCCAGGCCAGUCAUAUCAUUCCUCCCUGCACAGUAACUUUAAAAUGUUCUUUGUGAUGGGCCUCCUUCGACCAAAUACCUCAGUCAUACUGUAUUCUAUACCAUACUGUAUUCUGUAUCGUACUGUAUUCUGUAUCGUACUGUAUUCUAUAUCAUACUGUAUUCUGUAUCAUACUGUAGUCUGUAUCAUACUGUAUUCUAUAUCAUACUGUAGUCUGUAUCAUACUGUAUUCUGUAUCGUACUGUAUUCUGUAUCGUACUGUAUUCUGUAUCGUACUGUAUUCUAUAUCAUACUGUAUUCUGUAUCAUACUGUAGUCUGUAUCAUACUGUAUUCUAUAUCAUACUGUAUUCUGUAUCAUACUGUAUUCUGUAUCGUACUGUAUUCUGUAUCGUACUGUAUUCUGUAUCGUACUGUAUUCUGUAUCGUACUGUAGUCUGUAUCAUACUGUAUUCUAUAUCAUACUGUAGUCUGUAUCAUACUGUAUUCUGUAUCGUACUGUAUUCUGUAUCGUACUGUAUUCUGUAUCAUACUGUAUUCUGUAUCAUACUGUAUUAUAUAUCAUACAGUAACAUCACCCAACAGAACCUCCCUGCCCUCUCACAGUACCACUCCAAGCAUCUCACCCCCCACCUCCCUGCCCUCUCACAGUACCACUCCAAGCAUCUCACCCCCCACCUCCCUGCCCUCUCAGAGUACCACUCCAAGCAUCUCACCCCCCACCUCCCUGCCCUCUCACAGUACCACUCCAAGCAUCUCACCCCCCACCUCCCUGCCCUCUCACAGUACCACUCCAAUCAUCUCACCCCCCACAGUACCACUCCAAUCAUCUCACCCCCCACCUCACAGUACCACUCCAAUCAUCUCACCCCCCACCUCACAGUACCACUCCAAGCAUCUCACCCCCCACCUCACAGUACCACUCCAAUCAUCUCACCCCCCACAGUACCACUCCAAUCAUCUCACCCCCCACAGUACCACUCCAAUCAUCUCACCCCCCACAGUACCACUCCAAUCAUCUCACCCCCCACCUCACAGUACCACUCCAAUCAUCUCACCCCCCACCUCACAGUACCACUCCAAGCAUCUCACCCCCCACCUCACAGUACCACUCCAAGCAUCUCACCCCCCACCUCCCUGCCCUCUC
rnacentral:lncRNA from 1 species